rnacentral:rRNA from 1 species
UCCCAGUUCGGAUUGUAGUCUGCAACCCGACUACAUGAAGCUGGAAUCGCUAGUAAUCGCGGAUCAGAAUGCCGCGGUGAAUACGUUCCCGGGUCUUGUACACACCGCCCGUCACACCAUGGGAGUCGGAAAUGCCCGAAGUCUGUGACCUAACCGUAAGGAGGGAGCAGCCGAAGGCAGGUCGGAUGACUGGGGUGAAGUCGUAACAAGGUAUC